AUUGAACGCUGGCGGCAUGCUUUACACAUGCAAGUCGAACGGCAGCGCGGGGGCAACCCUGGCGGCGAGUGGCGAACGGGUGAGUAAUGUAUCGGAACGUAUCCUGUAAUGGGGGAUAACCAGUCGAAAGAUUGGGUAAUACCGCAUACGCACGAGAGUGGAAAGUAGGGGAUCGCAAGACCUUACGUUAUAGGAGCGGCCGAUAUCUGAUUAGCUAGUUGGUGGGGUAAAGGCCUACCAAGGCGACGAUCAGUAGCUGGUCUGAGAGGACGACCAGCCACACUGGGACUGAGACACGGCCCAGACUCCUACGGGAGGCAGCAGUGGGGAAUUUUGGACAAUGGGCGCAAGCCUGAUCCAGCCAUGCCGCGUGCGGGAAGAAGGCCUUCGGGUUGUAAACCGCUUUUGUCAGGGAAGAAAUCCUUUGAGUUAAUACCUCGGGGGGAUGACGGUACCUGAAGAAUAAGCACCGGCUAACUACGUG
rnacentral:rRNA from 1 species